UACGGAAGGGGCAAGCGUUGUUCGGAAUCAUUGGGCGUAAAGGGUGUGUAGGUGGCGCCGUAAGUCGGGUGUGAAAUUUCGGAGCUUAACUCCGAAACUGCAUUCGAUACUGCGGUGCUUGAGGACUGGAGAGGAGACUGGAAUUCAUGGUGUAGCAGUGAAAUGCGUAGAGAUCAUGAGGAAGACCAGUGGCGAAGGCGGGUCUCUGGACAGUUCCUGACACUGAGACACGAAGGCCAGGGGAGCAAACGGG
rnacentral:rRNA from 1 species